rnacentral:rRNA from 1 species
AGUGAACGCUGGCGGUAGGCCUAACACAUGCAAGUCGAACGGCAGCACAGAGGAGCUUGCUCCUUGGGUGGCGAGUGGCGGACGGGUGAGGAAUACAUCGGAAUCUACUCUGUCGUGGGGGAUAACGUAGGGAAACUUACGCUAAUACCGCAUACGACCUACGGGUGAAAGCAGGGGAUCUUCGGACCUUGCGCGAUUGAAUGAGCCGAUGUCGGAUUAGCUAGUUGGCGGGGUAAAGGCCCACCAAGGCGACGAUCCGUAGCUGGUCUGAGAGGAUGAUCAGCCACACUGGAACUGAGAUACGGUCCAGACUCCUACGGGUGGCAGCAGUGGGGAAUAUUGGACAAUGGGCGCAAGCCUGAUCCAGCCAUACCGCAUGGGUGAAGAAGGCCUUCGAGUUGUAAAGCCCUUUUGUUGGGAAAGAAAUCCAUCUGGUUAAUACCCGGGUGGGAUGACGGUACCCAAAGAAUAAGCACCGGCUAACUUCGUGCCAGCCGCCGCAGUA